CAUGUGGAUAAACAUACCCACUAUUUACAACACUUCUUUUUAUUUCGUUGGAUUGUCCUUGUCCUUUGACUUGACAAUUUAUUUGAAUUUUCAAACCGAUUUAAGGGCCUCCUGUACGCCAGAAUUUCUAGUCUCCUUUGCCUCCAAUUGCAAGGUGCAAAUUACAACAAGCACUUGGAAUUCAAGAUGCAAACCUCGACGCGAUUCAAUGAGACAUUGACUGGGUCAGUCAAUUCCCACACUUAAUUCUGCACGCGGAGUCUGGACCGGGCAACUCGGAGCUUAAUUAGUCCCAAUGACUUUUCAAGUAAACUGGAAAUGUGGACCCCCAGCAGUUUUGGUCGAUGAUGGAUCCCAAUGACUUUUUAAGGAAAUUGGAAAUGCCGACAAGACGCAAAGGCUUGCAUGGUUAAAUUGUCCAAAUGGAAAUUACUUUUGAGAAAUUAACUCGUUUAACAUGAUCAAAAAACUACUUGAUCUGUAUGUAUUUGAUUUUGAUGAGUUCAACAAUUGAAAUUUAUAAAAUAAUUAUUACGCUCAAUCUUCUAAAAAUUAAACGAUUGGCAUGACGUGAUGACGAUUAUUCUAAUAGAGAGACUAAUAUUAGUGAAACAUUGAUAAUUUCAUGUAUGUUCUUUGUUUAGAAGACAUGAAUCAAACUAUCUUAGACGUUAAACCACACAGAUUAAGCGUGAAAAUUGACCACAAUUUUUCUUUUGGAAAAUGCUAGGGCCGCAUUUUGUAGACCACGUCUAAACUAUCUAUCUAAUAGAGGUGUUACUUACUUUUAUUAGAGAGAUGGUGGGUUAAUCAAUUUCACUUGAAUUAAAACUCAUUAUGCAUGUGGAGCAAUUUUCUCAAGUGCCUGGAUUCAAUCGAGUACUCCACAUGUUAUAAAAUAUUGGAGGGGACACGAAAAGAUAUAUAAUUUCCUCCACAUAUUAUGACAUAUAAAAUACCGUUUGAAUACUCGAUACUCGGAAAAAUAUCUCUAUAUACGUAUCUGGCAGGUUGUCAUGAUAUUAUCAGAGUUUUGAUGCAACUGCAGGUAGGCAUUGACAUUGUUAGUCCACGCAGUGAUUGCCUGCCUAAUUGGUAGGGUUUGGGACCUCCUCUAAUAAAUUCUGCAGUCUACCAUACCAAGUUGGAAGAAA
rnacentral:lncRNA from 1 species